GCAGGAUGGAUUUGAACGAACAUCAUUUUUGUGAAAAUUUUGACCCCUACUUUGAAUUACCAUGGUGAUGACACGUGCUUUGGUGGUCCGUCCUCCCAGGGCGGCAAGUACUUCGGCUUUGGAUCCACCACGCUGCCCUCGGCCAAUAGGAACAACGGGGCUGCCCAGGGCGAUGUCAUGCAAGUCGUCUCCCAGGAACAAUAUUGAUGUGAAAAGGGACUGAUACAGAGGUAGUUACCAUAUCCAUUUUUACGCAGAUUUCCGUACUUUGAUGUGUAAGCAGAAGGUUUGUAGAAGUUUCUAGGAAGACUUGGAUUUGCCAAAGAAAAAUGACCUUUUGAUCUUAUUUUACUGAAAUGUUGUUUAUUUGACAAGAGAAUGCACUUCCAAUCACUCUUAGUUCUGAAAAAUUCUCAGGACGCUAUGAAGCAGCAGGGAGUCAUACAAUGAUGGCAUAAUUUUAUUUAUUUCAUUAGUCAAUUAACGGCCCAAGAUGCUCAUUUCUGUACUGAACUCGCUGUUUCUGUUUCUUAUUUAAAAUUUUCUUUUCUUUGCGAAUGCUUCUGCUGUGUAUCCUCACAAAUUCAGAAAAGAAGAACUUAGCAUGCAAAAUAUUCUCAUUGGUCUGCUUGGAUCUUGGUUACUUCGUUUAUUUUCUCCCUGGAUCUUGAAGACUGCCUCUAUUUUUCCUUUUCUAUGCAUUGUUUAAUGAUUUUUCAAUGUUGAAGUAUGGACAUUAGGUUUGGGCGUUUGGCUCUCCAUUUGUAGUUUUAGUGAAGUAGAUUGGAGAGCUCAUAUCAUAAAUGGUAGCUAUAUUCCUUUUGUUUUGACGUAACUCAAUAGUUGGUUUCAAUUAACUUUUGAAAUCAGCCAAUUUAGAGGUUUGCUUACAGGGGAGGGAUUCAUACUAGCAUAAAGGAGAGGGUUCAGUAUUAUGAUAGUAUCAGUGAAAUCGACCAUGCCAUGUUUUCUUCCUCUCUAGAAGUGCCAUAUUUUAUUCUGCAAAAGGAAGCCAUUGGUGCAAAAGAGGUCAAGCUUUGAUUUUAUUUGAAUUUAUGCUCUCUUUGUAAUCAUGUUUUCCUUUCUAAUUAGCAUCUGAUUGUGUUUCAAUGGCAAGAUGAAGGUAUAGUUGGCAUUUGCAAAUACACUGCAAGAAGAUGGAAAGUACAAGAUAUAUGUGAAAAGAUGCCAAUGAUAUUCUAAUACACAGGUACUUCCACUGUUCUGCCAUCACAGAAGAUGCACGCUUCUUAUAGGUAGAGAAUCAUGAAUGCAUGCUAGCUCUAAGUGUAGGUUGCAAUGGGUCAUCAAGACUAUGGCAGAUAACAACACCAGCAAUUCAGGCAACAACACUCCCUAUUCAUUGUGAAUCUAUCUUCUUGGAAGAAGUUAUCCUGCAAGCUGAACAGAAUUAUAAAAGGAGACUGGGACAUACUGUCGGCCGGCCUUGCUAUUGCCGUCAUCAGAGACCAUUUGCACGUGUGUUCCAUGUGCUGGCAUUGGUGAGAUUUCUUGGUCUUUAGUUUGCUACCCCCAUUUGUAAUUGCUCAAUAACUAAGACUAAGCAGCUUUUCUAUCUGGACCUUGGUGCAUAAAUUUCUUGGGCAACUGAAUCUGAAAUAAGCUGCUUAGUCUUAGUUGUAGAUGCUAGCGAGUGUGUUAUCACACAAUGAUUAUACUGCAGCUAGGUUGAUAUGUGCAGGGUGUCGCUUUAGCUGAUAAAUAUAGUCAAUAUGUAUCAGAACUCGGUCAAU